rnacentral:lncRNA from 1 species
AUUGAAAUAAAAAUCAAACUAGAGGGAUAAUUAAUAAAAAAAAAAUUAUUGAAAUUAAAAUAAUGACUGAAGCUCAAUGCGCGCGAACGUCCAAGGAUCAAAACUGAAAAUAUUCCAGAUCCCAAAACAUGGCGUUUAGGCGCAGAUUAAAUUGCAAAGACGCGCAAAUUCUAUGCCAAAUUUGAAAUGAAGUAAAGUGGAAAUAAGGUUCAAUUUAAAGGUCUGCGCGAAAACGAACUAGUCGCGCAAUUUGACCAUUCGAAGUAAAAGGGCGCGGAUCUGGGCCACAAAACGGGUCGGCGUGCGGAUCUUCUUCCUCCAGACGGUACCGUUUCAUGUUCUGCACAAAAUAAGGUAAAAACCUUAAAACUAAUAAAAACAAAUCAAAAUAAAACAAAACCUAAGGUCUAUCCCUUAUUCAUUCGACCGGAAGCUUCACAAUCGCCAUUUCAUCUCCAUAUUCAACAGACGACGUCAGACGAAAGCUUAAUCUGGCCCUAUUUGACCGCAAAUCCAUGAGUUUUUCUAGGCUUUAACUUCAAUCCUCAUCUAGGCUUCGAUUACCACGAAGCAAACAAGGAUUUUGAAGCUUCCAAAAAAAAGUUAAGUCUCUCCCCUUUACUUAUUUUUUUUGCUUUCAUAUGUAGUAACAAAGCUUUAAAAAAAAUAGGAGCUGAAUCCAAAAGAAAAUAAAAUCUAAAUCACCUUUUGAAAAACUGCUCUUGAGAUGAUUUCUUAUUCAAACUUUUCUAGAUUUGUACUCAUAAAAUAUGCGUGUGUAUUUUCUGAAAAAAACUGAUCCUCUUUACAGCUGAUUCUCUGGCUUUUUAUAGCCGAAUCAAGAGAAAUAAUAAAAAAUAAAUAAAAAAUAAAAGAAAAUACAAUGGCCUUGGAUUUUCUGUUAUGCAUUUGCUGUCAAUUGUUGUAUAUCUGCUGUGUUGUUUGCUAGUCCGUUUUGCAGGUACAAAGGUCGUGGUGUUGCUGACGCGGUGGGACUGUUCAUGGGAGCUACAGUAGUGGCUUCCAGAAGCUUCAAUUGACUUGGGCUCUGGGAGCUUACCUCGGAGUCAAGCUGUUGGAGCUUGGAGGCUAUUGCGGCACGAGGAGACUUCAGAAACCCUUAGGGUUUCUGAAAGAAUUUAGACAUUGGGCCUUUUUGGGUUAAUUUUACUUUGGACAAAGGUUUAAAUUUGGGCUGUUAUUUUUGGGCUUUUGUACUUAGGCUAAUUGACCUAGACUUAUUUAGGUUUUAAAUUAACUCGGGCUCUUUGGGGUUUAUUAAGCUAUAAAUGUAAAUGGACUGGAACUAUUAAAACAUUUGGUUUUAUUUAUUUUAUUUUUUUGGUUUUUGUGUGGACCCGGGCACAAAUUGGGUCUUACAAAGUUGAUCCCCGUUGUUUUCAAAAAUCAAAAUAAAAAAAUGGUUUCAACAGCUUGGUGACUCCACUGGGGACCCAACAAGAGAGUCAAGCCAUAAAAUUGAUUAUUUGUUGUCCUUUUGUCAAAAUAUUGAAACUUUGUUUUGAAAAUUAUGAUUGCAUUUGUUUGUCUGAUUGUUAUGGUUCGGGUCUUGUAGAAUAAUAUUGCAUUGCAUUGCAUGACCGUUGUGGUUAUAUCUUUAAGUGGGAGUAAGAAAGUAUGCUUUCGUGAGGUUUUCACCUUCGCAUUGGCUAGUGGAUUGCUUCCUGGAUACAUCUGUACCUAUACUUUCGUGAGAUUUUCAUCUCUGUAUGGUCAUAGGGAAAUGUAUUCCCCUGAAUCGAACUCGAUCCAUAUGAGCCUAUAAUGGGUGAGGAUUGAGGAAUCUGCUGGUUCAGGUACCUUCUAAUUAGAACCGAACCACAUAUAGUGAACCUUAAGAGCUACCCUUAGGUAGAGUCAUGUUAAGCAUUAGUAGUGGCCCAUAUCUAUGUUCUGAUUAUUUUUGGUUUCUGCUGGUAUCGUAUUACUUAUAUUUGAUACUAGCUUGUGUUUUGUUUUGAUUGUGUUUUGCAUGACAUUGCAUACUAAAGGAGGUGUUAAUUCAUAUUUGAUUACUAACUUAGAAGAUUUAACAUAGAGAAUACGGCCGACCUUGCAUGGUCAGAGAAGUUACAAUCUGAGAAAGAGGAUAGCCUGGUAGAAGGAUAUACAUCAGAGUUGCAGGAAUUCACUUGCGUCAAUGUAACACAAAAUAAGUUACAAGAGUUGAGAGAUAUAUGGGCUCAUUGGGAUGAGGGAACGAAACAGUUGUUCUAUCAAAGCUAUGGUGAUAUAUCCUACUUGCUAAAUAUUAAGGUGGACAAGUAUCUGUUUCGAGUUAUAGUUCAAUUUUGGAAUUCUGCUUACAAGUGUUUCACUUUUGGGGAAGUGGAUUUAGUGCCUACUGUGGAGGAAUAUACUACCCUGCUCAGGUGUCCAAAAGUUCAAGUUAGAAAAGCUUAUGCCAAGGUUUAAUGGUCAAACUUUCGUGAAAAAAUUGAUGAAUCUUUCAGGGAUGAGUGAGCCUUGGGUCACUGCUCGAAUUCAACAAAAGGGGGAUAGUAAUUGUAUCCCUUGGGAGAAUUUGAGAGAUUUGGUUUUAACAUAUCCAGAUUAAAGAAAGAGGGUCGAUAUCUUCGCUUUAAGUAUCUAUGGAUUGGUAAUUUUUCCUAAAGCUUUAAGGCAUGUAGAUGAGGCAGUCACUGACUUAUUCAACCAUCUUGAGAGGGAAUCACACUUGUACCUGCAAUAUUGGCUGAGACGUUCAGAUCCUUAAGCAUUUGUCAGAAGACGGGCGAGGGGCGUCUUAUUGGGUGUGCAUAGCUGUUGAUGGUGUGGUUCCAUGGGCACUUUUGAAAGGUAAACAAGGUUUCUUACCGGGUCUUUUCUGAAAGUUAUUCCCCGUUAAAGGAAGAGGCAGCUAUGCAGAGGAGAGACGAUAUUUCAGAGGGAAAAUGGAUGGAAAUUCUUCAGAAUCUCAAGGAAGAGGAUAUAGCGUGGAGAGCUCUUUGGAUGGUUUCUGAUGAAAUCCUAUAUCGAUGCGGGAAUUUUGAUUGGGUACCAUUGUCAAGAAUUUGUAGAGCUACUGGGUAUACUCCAUUGCUUGCAUUAAAGCAAUAUAAAUCGAGGCAACUUGUACCCACAACUUACGGGCUUGCUCAGUGUGAAUUCUCCUAUAAAUGUGACCACUAUAAGAAUAAGGUUUGGGAACUGCCUGAUGCUUGGAAGCAAACUCGUUGGAUGAAGAGGUUGGCUGUCGGUUCCAUGGUGACACCUGAAUACAAUGGAUGGUUUAGGAAAAGGGUCAAUGAUAAUAUUCCUACGCCAAGUUUAGAAGAUACUCGACCUGUGGAAGAACAAUUACAAGUUGCCCCAUCAGAGUUGGAAAUUAUAAAACAAAAUUUUGAGAAGAAGAGUUUUGAGCUUGGGAAGAAGAUCGAAUAGUUAGAGGAAGAAAAGAUGCAUCUGAGAUUAGAUGUAGACAUUCAGAGGUCAGAGGAUGAGAAGUGGAGAAAAGGGAAAAGUAAGGCCAAAGAGGAUCUGGAUAGUUUGAAGAUAGAUUAUAAGAAGUUAUGCCUGUCUAUGAGGACUGCUGGGUUAGGUAAAACUUCAAAGCAAUCGCGCCAGCAAAUUCGAGAGGAAAAGACCAAAGCCGACCGAUGGGAAAGGAAAUUCCGAGAGGCUCAGGCAUGAAAUGAGGAUUUAGAGAAGAGUUUGUUAGAAAGUAGAAAUGAACGAGGUGAAUUAAGGGUUAAAGUGGCAGAACUCGAGAAGUCUAUUCAUCAGUACCGAAGCCGUAAUACCGCAAUGGAGUUGAGAGUAAGCUUGAGUAAGGUAGAAGAAAUGAAAAGCAAAGUAGAAGAAUUAGAAGUGUCAUUACAAAGCUGUGAGAUGUGGAUUCAAUUUUUCGAAGCAAGUGAGGAGCGUUGGAAGAACAGCUUCACCAUGCGCAAGACCAAGUCAGAAACAGGGAUUACAUUAUGGGAGAAGCCGUAAUCCAGAUUUAGGAGGUAGCCGAUUACUUGCAAACUUUAGCGGUACAAGAAGACAUACUGAGCGUGAAGUACGAGCUAGAGUCAGAUCGGGGGCAGGAGCUAGCCUCGUUGCUUAGGAAAAUUAAGGCUCUGAGCAUUAGGGUGAAGUCUUAUUUGUAACUCAGUUUUAUGUAAAGAAUUUUAUUUUCUAGUAAAGUUUUCUAAAUGGAAUUGAAUUAAAAUCAAUGCCUCCUUUGCAUUCAUGCAUUUGCAUUACAUUACAAUAUGCAUUAAAGGUCAUAAAAAGAUUCUAAUUAAUUAAUAAUUAUUUCAAUAAUCUGGAAACCAAUGAAAACCAACCAAGUACGCACCCUUACGGUACAAGGAAAAAGACUAAAUCAAUGGACAAAACAAAAUGCAAAAGGACACGCAGGAACAAAUGCAGUCACAGAUGCAAGAACAGCUAACCAAGAUUCAACAAGAGAUGAAAGAUCAAAUGAUGGAAUCCCAAAGAGAGAUAUGAG